rnacentral:rRNA from 1 species
AGUGAACGCUGGCGGUAGGCCUAACACAUGCAAGUCGAACGGCAGCACAGGAGAGCUUGCUCUCUGGGUGGCGAGUGGCGGACGGGUGAGGAAUACAUCGGAAUCUACUUUUUCGUGGGGGAUAACGUAGGGAAACUUACGCUAAUACCGCAUACGACCUACGGGUGAAAGCAGGGGACCUUCGGGUCUUGCGCGAUUGAAUGAGCCGAUGUCGGAUUAGCUAGUUGGCGGGGUAAAGGCCCACCAAGGCGACGAUCCGUAGCUGGUCUGAGAGGAUGAUCAGCCACACUGGAACUGAGACACGGUCCAGACUCCUACGGGAGGCAGCAGUGGGGAAUAUUGGACAAUGGGCGCAAGCCUGAUCCAGCCAUACCGCGUGGGUGAAGAAGGCCUUCGGGUUGUAAAGCCCUCUUGUUGGGAAAGAAAUCCAGCUGGCUAAUACCCGGUUGGGAUGACGGUACCCAAAGAAUAAGCACCGGCUAACUUCGUGCCAGCAGCCGCAGUAA